UACGUAGGGUGCAAGCGUUGUUCGGAUUUACUGGGCGUAAAGGGCGCGUAGGCGGCGUGACAAGUCACUUGUGAAAUCUCCGGGCUUAACUCGGAACGGUCAAGUGAUACUGUCGUGCUAGAGUACAGAAGGGGCAACUGGAAUUCUCGGUGUAGCGGUGAAAUGCGUAGAUAUCGAGAGGAACACCUGCGGCGAAGACGGGUUGCUGGGCCGACACUGACGCUGACAGCGCGAAAGCCAGGGGAGCAAACGGG
rnacentral:rRNA from 1 species